CAUGCACCAGUGGGGUCCCUCAGCCUGGCCUGCACCCUCUCACACUCCGGGACCCCUCAGGGGAUAUCAGAGAGCCAGUUUCAGCCCAAUCCUGCAGGCCAGGCUGAGGGACCCCGCUGGUGCACG
rfam:Myotis lucifugus cont2.15844, whole genome shotgun sequence.